GAUGAACGCUGACAGAAUGCUUAACACAUGCAAGUCAACUUGAAUUUGGGUUUUUACCUUAGGUUUGGGUGGCGGACGGGUGAGUAACGCGUAAAGAACUUGCCUCACAGCUAGGGACAACAUUUGGAAACGAAUGCUAAUACCUAAUAUUAUGAUAAUAGGGCAUCCUAUAAUUAUGAAAGCUAUAAGCGCUGUGAGAGAGCUUUGCGUCCCAUUAGCUAGUUGGAGAGGUAACGGCUCACCAAGGCGAUGAUGGGUAGCCGGCCUGAGAGGGUGAUCGGCCACAAGGGGACUGAGACACGGCCCUUACUCCUACGGGAGGCAGCAGUGGGGAAUAUUGGACAAUGGACCAAGAGUCUGAUCCAGCAAUUCUGUGUGCACGAUGAAGUUUUUCGGAAUGUAAAGUGCUUUCAGUUGGGAAGAAAGAAAUGACGGUACCAACAGAAGAAGUGACGGCUAAAUACGUG
rnacentral:rRNA from 1 species